UACGUAGGGUGCGAGCGUUAAUCGGAAUUACUGGGUCGUAAAGUGUGCGCAGGCGGCUUCGCAAGUCGAAGUGUGGAAAUCCCCGAGCUUAACUUGGGAAUUGCGCCCGAAACUACGGAGCUGGAGUGUGGCAGAGGAAGGUGGAAUUCCACGUGUAGCGGUGAAAUGCGUAGAGAUGUGGAGGAACACCGAUGGCGAAGGCAGCCUUCUGGGCCAACACUGACGCUCAUGCACGAAAGCGUGGGUAGCAAACAGGA
rnacentral:rRNA from 1 species